UGCCUGCUCGAGCGUCAUU
rnacentral:rRNA from 1 species